CCUACGGGAGGCAGCAGUGAGGAAGAUUGGUCAAUGGACGAGAGUCUGAACCAGCCAAGUAGCGUGAAGGAUGACUGCCCUAUGGGUUGUAAACUUCUGGUAUAAAGGAAGAAAACGAGGCACGUGGGCCUUUUUGCAUGUACGUUAUGAAUAAGGAGCGGCUAACUCCGUGCCAGCAGCCGCGGUAAUACGGAGGAUCCGAGCGUUAUCCGGAUUUAGUGGGGUGAAAGGGAGCGUAGAGGGGUUGUUAAGGCAGUUGUGAAAGUUUGCGGCUCAACCGUAAAAUUGCAAUUGAUACUGGCAGUCUUGCGUACAGUUGCGGUCGGCGGCCUUCGUGGUGUAGCCG
rnacentral:rRNA from 1 species